UACGAAGGGGGCUAGCGUUGCUCGGAAUCACUGGGCGUAAAGGGUGCGUAGGCGGGUCUUUAAGUCAGGGGUGAAAUCCUGGAGCUCAACUCCAGAACUGCCUUUGAUACUGAAGAUCUUGAGUCCGGGAGAGGUGAGUGGAACUGCGAGUGUAGAGGUGAAAUUCGUAGAUAUUCGCAAGAACACCAGUGGCGAAGGCGGACUCACUGGCCCGGUACUGACGCUG
rnacentral:rRNA from 1 species